UUCUUCGGGGUCGGGUGCAAGUCCCAACCGGCGGUAUAGUCCGCGACCUGCUGCUUUUGGCAGUGGCUGAACUGGUGAAAUUCCAGUACCGACAGUAAAGUCUGGAUGAGAGAAGAA
rnacentral:ncRNA from 1 species